GAACUUUUAAUUAAUUAAAUAUCGCUGUGUAAGACUCGUUUAAUAUUAUUUGACAACAAAAUGCAACUGCCUGCUGUUUUAGCAUUUCUGGUUAUUGUAGGAUGCAUGACUUGCAGUGCUUGUCUUCCUCCCAAAUGCGCUAGUGCACCUCCAAACACCUGCUGCUUCAACGCCAAACACGCCCUCUACACAAAAUAUCCCUUACUUUAUGCGAUUUACUUGCACAGAGCCAAAGAUUUGGUGAAAAAACUGGAAGGGGUGUGUCCAUGUCCUGCUCCGGUCCUUGUUACCCCGCAGCCCUUGAAGACAGUCGUAAUGAUGCAAUCGGGAUGUUAAUUACGAUAGUUUCAAUGUAGUUUUAUUUUUGAGAAAAAUAAAUUGUAGCCACAUUA